rnacentral:rRNA from 1 species
AAAAACAUCACCUCUAGCAUAAAAAGUAUUAGAGGCACUGCCUGCCCAGUGACAAACGUUUAACGGCCGCGGUAUCCUGACCGUGCAAAGGUAGCAUAAUCACUUGUUCCUUAAUUGGGGACUGGAAUGAAUGGCCACACGAGGAUUCAACUGUCUCUUACUUCCAAUCGGUGAAAUUGACCUUCCCGUGAAGAGGCGGGAAUGAUAUAAUAAGACGAGAAGACCCUAUGGAGCUUUAAUUUACUGACUUACCCUUAACAACUAUCAACCCUAAUGGGUCAAACAACAAGCCCUAAGUCAGUAAUUUCGGUUGGGGUGACCUCGGAGCAUAAAACAACCUCCGAAAGAUCUUAUAACCAAGACUAACAAGUCGAAGUAAUAAUAAUCCAAUUGACCCAAUUAUACUUUGAUCAACGGACCAAGUUACCCUAGGGAUAACAGCGCAAUCCUAUUCAAGAGUCCAUAUCGACAAUUAGGGUUUACGACCUCGAUGUUGGAUCAGGACAUCCCAAUGGUGUAGCAGCUAUUAAUGGUUCGUUUGUUCAACGAUUAAAGUCCUAC